GCUGGACGGCGUGAGUGGCAGGAGCCGAGUCCGGACCUGGCGGUGACUGCCUCGUCGCUUUGUUUGCUAACUUGGACUGUGGCUUUCGGGGGGCCACCCCACGGAACCCGCCUCGGGUCCGCUAAGCCCAACCCACGGCAGCACGAGGCCGAAACGUUCCUUCCCGGCGGUUAUGCGCGGCCACGCGGUGGCUCUCAUUAUGUACACAAAGGGCGAGCGGGAGCCGGUACAGAGUAGAAGAAGCCUCUCUCAAACCAGGACGCGAGGGGAAAUGCAGAAUUAAAACUCACCGUGACGCGAAGGCCAGCCGGACCCCGCCAAUGCACACCUCCUGCUCGUGUAAAUCAUUUCGAGGCAGUUGGGAAGCCGGAGCGCGCUGGCCGGGUUCUGAGAUCAGCUGAAGCCCCACGGUGCCCCUCCCCCAGCCCCACUCCACCCCUAAGGCCGAGCUCGUUGGGAGUUUCGCGUUCCCGCAGGACUGUGCGCCGGGUCUUUUACAACUCCAGAAAAGGGGAACGCCCCCGCCCCCCUCCUCCCCGGCGCGAGCUCAUAACAUCCGCAAUAUUUUUUUUUAAUCCGCUGUCUGCACGGCGGAAAAACAAGCUUCGGUUCUGCCUGUGUCAGGGCCUCUCGGUGUAACUGAUUCAAGUGACUUCGGGUUAGUUGCUGUUGCCACGUGUUACUUACUGAACGCUUAUGCCUCAUAAUCAAAUUGUCUAAGUGCAACCG
rnacentral:lncRNA from 1 species